rnacentral:rRNA from 1 species
UACGUAGGGGGCUAGCGUUGUCCGGAAUCAUUGGGCGUAAAGCGCGUGUAGGCGGUCCGGUAAGUCCGCUGUGAAAGUCGGGGGCUCAACCCUCGAAUGCCGGUGGAUACUGUCGGGCUAGAGUGCGGAAGAGGAGAGUGGAAUUCCUGGUGUAGCGGUGAAAUGCGCAGAUAUCAGGAAGAACACCCGUGGCGAAGGCGGCUCUCUGGGACGGUACUGACGCUGAGACGCGAAAGCGUGGGGAGCGAACAGG